rnacentral:rRNA from 1 species
UACAGAGGGGGCAAGCGUUAUUCGGAAUUAUUGGGCGUAAAGGGCGCGUAGGCGGCUUUGCAAGUGGCGGGUGAAAUCCCUCGGCUUAACCGAGGAACUGCCUGCCAGACUGUGAGGCUUGAGACCGGGAGAGGUGAGUGGAAUUCCCAGUGUAGCGGUGAAAUGCGUAGAUAUUGGGAGGAACACCAGUGGCGAAGGCGGCUCACUGGACCGGAACUGACGCUGAGGCGCGAAAGCUAGGGGAGCAAACAGG